GAUAAUGUUGCACCAACAGCUUGACAUAAUCUGUUUUGAGUCAGUUGAGAAAGUUCAGUGAAACUUUAUUUUUCAUGUUUUUAUUUUGUUGGUUUAUUUGAUAGGGACCAUGCAUAUUUAUGAACAUUGUUGUAUAAAAACACCAUGUAAAUAAGCCAGAAGUAGUAAAAGUAACUACUUUUCAUCUGCAGUCCCUAGACAGGUUACAUAGGACUGACAUAGAGAGAGUAAGCAGUAGGGUUGCACAAUAAUAACAGAAUUUACAGGAAAACACAUCUUAACAAUAUUCAUAGAUUCACAACAAUAUUUGAUUUCUGAGAGGAAAAAGCUCCACAGGUUGACUUCAUGUGUCUGUUCAGCACGCUCACAUCAAACU